UACGGAGGGUGCAAGCGGUGUUCGGAAUCACUGGGCGUAAAGCGCGUGUAGGCGGCCCCUUAAGUCUGGUGUGAAAGCCCGGGGCUCACCCCCGGAAGGGCACUGGAUACUGGGAGGCUAGAGUACCGGAGAGGAGGGUGGAAUUCCUGGUGUAGCGGUGAAAUGCGUAGAUAUCAGGAGGAACACCGGUGGCGAAGGCGUCCCUCUGGACGGCUACUGACGCUGAGACGCGAAAGCGUGGGGAGCAAACAGG
rnacentral:rRNA from 1 species